rnacentral:sRNA from 1 species
ACAACACUCGCGACCCCGCAGCUAAGCUCAGCUCCCGACGCAAUGGACCCGGCGCUGGCAGCCCAGAUGAGCGAGGCUGUGGCCGAGAAGAUGCUCCAGUACCGGCGGGACGCAGCAGGCUGGAAGAUUUGCCGGGAAGGCGUGAGUGAGGAGCUGGGCGGGAAGGGGUCGCGGAGACGGCUUCGUGGAGCCCGGGUCCCCAGAAGCCCCCAAGCCCCUCCUCUCCCCGUUGUUUUCUGCACCCCAAUCCCCUGGACCCGAUUGAGAGGGAUUCCAAUGGGGAUUGUUUUCUUCUUUAAAAAAAAGAUUGGGCCUGUUAUGCUCACAAUGACUUCAGGUGAAUGGAGUUUCAGUUUCCUGGAGGCCAUCUAUGGAGUUUCCAGGGAACCUGUACCGAGGAGAAGGCAUUGUAUAUGGGACACUAGAGGAGGUGUGGGACUGUGUGAAGCCAGCUGUUGGAGGCCUACGAGUGAAGUGGGAUGAGAAUGUGACCGGUUUUGAAAUUAUCCAAAGCAUCACUGACACCCUGUGUGUAAGCAGAACCUCCACUCCCUCCGCUGCUAUGAAGCUCAUUUCUCCC